rnacentral:tRNA from 2 species
GCGGGAGUAGCUCAGGGGUAGAGCAUCUGCUUCCCAAGCAGAAUGUCGCGGGUUCAAAUCCCGUCUCCCGCUCCA